AGUAGUUUGAUCCUGGCUCGAGGACGAACGCUGGCGGCGUGCUUAACACAUGCAAGUCGAACGGGGAUUAUAGGAAUGAGAGCUUCGGCAGGAUUCGGGAGUAUUCCAGUGGCGGACGGGUGAGUAACGCGUGAGCAAUCUGUCCCGGACAGGGGGAUAACACUUGGAAACAGGUGCUAAUACCGCAUAAGACCACGGUAGGACAUCCUAGAGAGGUAAAAGGUGCAAACCGGUUUGGGGUGAGCUCGCGUCCGAUUAGAUAGUUGGUGAGGUAACGGCCCACCAAGUCGACGAUCGGUAGCCGACCUGAGAGGGUGAUCGGCCACAUUGGAACUGAGAGACGGUCCAAACUCC
rnacentral:rRNA from 1 species